rnacentral:rRNA from 1 species
CACGAUACACCUACAAGCGGUGGAUCACUCGAAUUACCAAUCGAUGAAGAACGCAGCCA